GCCGGACUGGCGAGCUUUCUCCUUGGUUUGCUUCCCCAAUGCCUUAUUUCCACUUCCAGCAAUGUUAGCACCUCCAGACGUGGCUUUUGAUUUUUGAGCAGAAUGGGGCUUUUUGCUAUGGUUUAGCGAGUGAGCCCUCUUUGAUUUUGCCAACGCUUUUGCAUCCAUUAUUGAAAACAAAGCNNUUAUUGAAAUACCAAUCCCAUUGCUAUUGGAAAUUGAAUUCUGUAAUUCACCACUGGAUUUUCAGGUAUCGGCUUGUACUGGAGAAUCUGAU
rnacentral:misc_RNA from 1 species